AACGCGAAGAACCUUACCUACUCUUGACAUCCACGGAAUUUAGCAGAGAUGCUUUAGUGCCUUCGGGAACCGUGAGACAGGUGCUGCAUGGCUGUCGUCAGCUCGUGUUGUGGAAUGUUGGGUUAAGUCCCGCAACGAGCGCAACCCUUAUCCUUUGUUGCCAGCGAUUCGGUCGGGAACUCAAAGGAGACUGCCAGUGAUAAACUGGAGGAAGGUGGGGAUGACGUCAAGUCAUCAUGGCCCUUACGAGUAGGGCUACACACGUGCUACAAUGGCAUAUACAAAGAGAAGCGACCUCGCGAGAGCAAGCGGACCUCAUAAAGUAUGUCGUAGUCCGGAUUGGAGUCUGCAACUCGACUCCAUGAAGUCGGAAUCGCUAGUAAUCGUGGAUCAGAAUGCCACGGUGAAUACGUUCCCGGGUCUUGUACACACCG
rnacentral:rRNA from 1 species